CCUACGGGUGGCAGCAGUGGGGAAUAUUGCACAAUGGGGGAAACCCUGAUGCAGCGACGCCGCGUGAGUGAAGAAGUAAUUCGUUACGUAAAGCUCUAUCAGCAGGGAAGAAAGACUGACCUUACGGUCAGCAGACGGUACCUGAGUAAGAAGCACCGGCGACCUACGUGCCAGCAGCCGCGGUAAUACGUAGGGGGCAAGCGUUAUCCGGAUGUACUGGGUGGAAAGGGAGCGUAGACGGUGCGCCAAGUCUGGAGUGAAAUGCCGCCGCUUAACUGCGGAACUGCUUUGGAAACUGGCGAACUAGAGUGCGGGAGGGGUAAGCGGAAUUCCUCGUGUAGCGGUGACAUGCGUAGAUAUUAGGAGGAACACCGGUGGCGAAGGCGGCUUACUGGACCGUAACUGCCGUUGAGGCUCGAAAGCGUGGGGAGCAAACAGGAUUAGAUACCAGUGUAGUC
rnacentral:rRNA from 1 species